rnacentral:misc_RNA from 1 species
AAGUCGUAACAAGGUUUCCGUAGGUGAACCUGCGGAAGGAUCAUUAACGAAUAUCUAUGGCGUUGGUUGUAGCUGGCUUCUAGGAGCAUUUGUGCACGCCCGUCAUUUAUAUCAUCUUUCCACCUGUGAACUAUGUGUAGGUCUGGAUACCUCUCGCUUUGGUGACAAGGCGGAUGCAAGGAUUGCUGCGUCGAAAGGCCAGCUCUCUUUGAAUUUCCAGGUCUAUGUUUUUUACACACUCCAUUUGAAUGAUGUAGAAUGUAGUCAAUGGGCUUUCAAGCCUAUAAAAAACUAUACAACUUUCAGCAACGGAUCUCUUGGCUCUC